UACGGGGGGGGCAAGCGUUGUUCGGAAUUACUGGGCGUAAAGGGCUCGUAGGCGGCCAACUAAGUCGGACGUGAAAUCCCCAGGCUCAACCUGGGAACUGCGUCUGAUACUGGAUGGCUUGAAUCCGGGAGAGGGAUGCAGAAUUCCAGGUGUAGCGGUGAAAUGCGUAGAUAUCUGGAGGAAUACCGGUGGCGAAGGCGGCUCACUGGACCGGUACUGACGCUGAUGCGCGAAAGCGUGGGGAGCAAACGGG
rnacentral:rRNA from 1 species